AUGAUUUUACAAAUUAAGCACCAAAACAUCAUGUUAUACAACAAAUUUUACAGAAAAAAAGUAGUUCAAUAUUCAGUAAUGCUAUGUAGUAAUUACUGUAUUUACGAAUUUAGCACCAAAAUAUCACGAUAUAUUGAAAACAUUGACUCCAAAAAUGCGUUGGAUAAUCCAGAACGUUGGUGUUGUCGAAGGCUUUCAUGGCCAGGAUCACAGGGUUGUUGUAUGUCUUUCGGGCUGUGUGGCCAUGUUCCAGAAGUAUUCUCUCCUAACGUUUCGCCCACAUCUAUAGCAGGCAUCCUCUGAGGAUGCCUGCCAUAGAUGUGGGCGGAACGUCAGGAGAGAAUACUUCUGGAACAUGGCCACAAUAACAGGAUAGAUCUCUUGUUUUCAUAAUUGUGUUUUUGUGCUUCCUGAAGGCAUGUGUCUGGCCCAUGUGCAAGAAAAAUGCUGGACUAGAUGAGCCUUUGGCCUGAUCCAGCCUGGGCUCUUCUAGUUAAGUGACUAAAGUCACAGAACCACUGGGCUGGAAGGUGCCUUGUGGACCAUCAAGUCCAGCCCUUUCUCAAUGCAGGAUGUCCAGCUAAAGCAUCAGAGAAGGUAGGUUCCCAGCCUCGUUUUGAAGAGAAGGAGAUCCCAGCAGUAGGGACAAUUGGCCCCACUGCUGAACCACUCUUACUGUCAAGAAAUUCCUCCCAAAAUUCAUUCAAAUCUACUCUCUUGUAACUUCUAAUCAUGAGUCACAGUCCUAUCCUUUGGGGCAGCAGAGAACACACUUCCUCCUCCACCACCCUUGAGAUAUUUUAAAAGUGUAAUGAUUUCACCCUCCAAUCUUCUCUUCACUGAAAUAUAUGGUCAUAAAUAGUCACCAAGGACCCUCAGUUCAAUCUUUGGUACUAAGAGAAGGUAUUAAGAUUUCAUAUAUUCAGUUUAUAUCCUGAUUAUACGAUGUGCUAAGAGGAAAAAGGAAUCUGGACUACAAUGACAGUACAGUUCUGCAGCCAAAAUAAUUGGGUUUUUUUAAAAAAAACCCCGAUAUGAGGCAAAUCCAGAGGGCUUUCUUUAGCAUGUUCAAAUGUUAUAAUAGGAGUAUGGGGAAAUCCAGACUGGCCAAGAAAUCUAAUGAGGAGAAAUAACUCCAAACAGGUCUGACUCUUAACAGCGUGAGGCAACAUGAAGCAACCACCUUGGAUAGCAAAUGAUGAGUGGAAUAGAAGGGUCGAAGGAUUUCUUACAGAUUUUUCAUAUGGUAGGGGAAAUAUGCCAUUUUGAAGACUAUUGUGGGUUGACUUUGGAUCCAAAUACAGAUAUGAGCAUGGUCUCUUUAUCUGUUCUCAUUAAAAGAGAUUUAGGAAAGUGAUGAUCCUUAAGCGUGCAGACAUUCCCCCCCCCCAAAAAAAACUUCCAGCCCCCUCCUUUUAAAAAUAAAUUAAGCGUCUAUAGGUGAGGGUUGCCCCAAAAUUGCCAAACAACCAAAGCCACCUUCAAACUUGGUGGUGUGGUUCCUCCACUACCCCAAAAGCUUUCCUGUUUAGGUGCACUGUGGCUAAAAUGGCUAACAAAGAUGAUACAAUGCUAUGCUUGGCACACCAAGGCACUUGUGUAGCUGAUUAUAGGAAGUAGGUCAAAAAUAGGUCCCCACCCUGACAAAGUUACCCAGCCUUGCUUAAGUAGUCACCUUCUCUGCAUUCUUGUUGUCAAGUAACAAGAUCUUCACCUUUCCUAGGGAGCAACAAAGACUAUUUAUUUUAUUUAUUUACAGUAUUUAUAUUCCGCCCUUCUCAUCCCGAAGGGGACUCAGGGUGGAUCACAUUAUAUAUAUAUAUAGGGCAAACAUUCAAUGCCCAUAUACACAUCGAACCGAGACUAACCUGGGUAUACAAGUUUCUCCAAAGAGUGCAGUGUGGGAAAGGAUGAUUCACUGCUUAUACAGAACUAUCUUGUGCAUUUCAGUCCCCAGGGAAGGCAAUACAAGGCAACAAAGCCAAUUGAAAAUAUUUAGGCUUUCUUUGACACAGUAAGUGAUAGGCCCCUGUGUUUACCAUUCUAAAACAUUUUGCUUCCUUGACCAAGCAAAGUAGCUGAGAGAUUUGUCAAGGUAAAGUUUACUUCUGCCUUAACAAUUUCUUCAAACUAAAUUCUUUGCUCUAGUUCUAUUCUCCAUUAGCCUGCCCAGAAGUUGUUGUAUCCCCCUCCACCCCCUCAUCUUUCUUCUUCAUAAAUGACACCAUUAGCACACAUUGAUGUUUUUGUCUUUUGCUCUUGAUAAUGUGAUUGAAAGUUGGAUGGGCUCUACUCAUAAAUUGAAGUGCUUUGUGUUUUCUUCAUUACACAAGAUGGAUAUGGUGCUGCCAAGCGCCUGGGUGAUAAUGCCUCCUUCUUGCCUUGGCAUAUACUCUAGCUUCUUUGGGCUCUUUGCUUCUGCCUCGGUAAUACCUUCAUAGGUGGUACAUUUUAAAAAUCAGUUGUUAUAAAGGCAGUAUAAAUCUCCCUAGUGCACUUUCCAAUAAAAACAAAAGAAGAAAUCUGAGCUACCAGGCUGCUUGGAAAAGGAUGAGUACAGCAAGGUAUUCUGUUCUCCUUAGUGACUGGGCAACUCUGAGGCAAAGACGGUUUUCAGCCUGGUUUUGCAUUCUAAUGGGACUUCUGCUGGUUAGUUCUGGAGAUGUCUGCAUCAUCCCCACUGGAGCCCUGAUUCACUCCAAUCUCUGAAUAAGCAUCUCUAAUGCAACCCCAGUGGGUUCUAUGUGAAGCAUCCCAUAGAGGUCCAUCUUAUAAUAAGGUUUAUGGUUUAUGUUAUUAGAAUGUCAGAAAUGGGGUUUAGUCAUUCCUCGUUUGUACUAGAUUGCCAGACAUAAUUUCUGUCUCCACGUUAAGGCUCUCUAAGAUACCAUAGCUCCAUGGUCACAACACCUAGUGUGGUUUUUGGAUUUUUCUGCCCUCCCACUGCUGCUGCUGUUGUUUGUUUUGGAAGUAUUUGGUUUUGUUUUUUUUGUGUCAGGAGGGUCUUGAGAAACUGCAAGUCGCUUCUGGUGUUUUGACAUUUUACCAUCCUUGUGAGAGGCUUCUCUCAUGUCCCCACAUGGGGAGCUGGAGCUGACAGAGGGAGCUCAUCCACACUCUCCCCGGACCUGGUGUAGGUACAAGACAUGGGAGUAAAAUGACAUUGCCUUUCCAAAUAAACAGUCUGUUCUCUGAUGUAAUUUUCCUUCAUAUAUCAAAUUUCUAUCAUUCAUUUGUUCCCACUAUUCCUUGCUUUUUGUACCUCUAGUUCAUGAAUUAUCAAGAAUCAAAAGGCAUUGAUUCAUCUUAAAAAUGUUAUUCAACUGAGGAUUUGAGAUUUUUCCUCCUGGAUGUAUGUCUUUUCCAAAUUGUCUCUUAGAGUUUGUCUUCUCCUAGUAGUAUUGAAUUUUGGUAAAGUUUUUUUUUUAAUGAACCUUUCCAGCAAUUUCUAAUUUAGUAAGACAGGCUGUAGAGAGGGUUCUUCCAUGCAGGCUGGUGGAGCUGCAAUAUUUAUCAAUUUCACUGGGUCCCUGUUUUUUGUUCUUGCUUUCUACAUCUGCCUUGCUGUUUGACUUUGGGAAAGUCACUUGCCCUCUUCGUGCCAUCUGUGAGGUGUCGGAGGAGAAUGCCUCCCAUGCAGCAGUGCUGAGAGGCUUAAUUAAUGUUUGCAAAGCAUGGCGCGAGCAUCUUUUAAAGCAGCAUUAUGGAAGGGCGACAAAUGAUUGUCAGUAAAGGGAUAGCAUAUGUCAUGGGGCCUAAAAUCCCCUUGUUUAAGAAUUGCAUGCUGGAAUAUGUGGCAGAAGACUGGAAACCUUAAGUGCUCUUACCUGCCGUGCUUUGGCUUUGCUGCUUGAUAGCUCCAAUUAGAUCUGAUUUAAUCUAAACAGCAUAAUGAUAGAAAAGGAAAGACUGUCCUUUCAGAUCCCACAGUGCAGCAC
ensembl:lncRNA